CUACGGGUGGCUGCAGUGGGGAAUAUUGGACAAUGGGGGAAACCCUGAUCCAGCAAUGCCGCGUGUGUGAAGAAGGCCUGCGGGUUGUAAAGCACUUUCGGUUGGGAGGACUGCUUCUAGCACUAAUAUUGUUGGAAGUUGACGUUACCUUCAGAAGAAGCACCGGCUAACUCCGUGCCAGCAGCCGCGGUAAUACGGAGGGUGCAAGCGUUAAUCGGAAUUACUGGGCGUAAAGCGCGCGUAGGCGGCUAGAUCAGUCGGGUGUGAAAGCCCCGGGCUUAACCUGGGAACUGCAUCCGAUACUGUCUAGCUUGAGUACAGGAGAGGAGAGUGGAAUUCCACAUGUAGCGGUGAAAUGCGUAGAUAUGUGGAGGAACACCAGUGGCGAAGGCAGCUCUCUGGCCUGAUACUGACGCUGAGGUGCGAAAGCGUGGGGGGCAAACAGGAUUAGAUACCCGGGUAGUC
rnacentral:rRNA from 1 species